GCUCAGCAUAACCUGCAGACCAACAUCACUGCCCUGAGCAACAAGAUCACACAGCUGGAAGCCAGAAACACUGGGCAGGAGGCCAAGGAGCAAGGGUUACAAGAUGAAAACAGCAGGCUCAGAAAGCAGCUCUCCAGCCAGUCCCAGCAGCUGCAGGAUUCCCAGCAUCAGCUGCAGGAUUCCUAGCAAGAAUUCCAGCAGCAAAGAGAUCAACUUGAAGCUAACAUCCUUUGGCUGAACUUGGAGCUCCAAAGCCAGAGGAAUCAGCACUCCAGCGGGGACAGCCUCAGGGGUCACAGUGUGUCUCUCUACACGGCUCCGCUGGUUCUGUCCCUCAUUGGGACCCUUCUCCUUUAAGAGGAGCAGCUUUGUACAGAUGGGAAACUGAAGCACAAGGCCAUUCGUGAGUCUCCCCAGGAGCACAUGGUAGAGUCAAGACUUGAACUCAGCUCUCCUGAGCACCAGCACAUAACUCUAAGGCCUUGCUUCCUCUCCAGUCAUCUCUUGCUUACAUCUCUCCUUUCUUUCUCCCUCUGCUGUUCUUUAGCUCAGCGCAGGGGGUCAGGGGAUGGGGAUACAGGACUGUCUCUCUCGCUCUCUUUAUUUCCAUCAUCCAUCCCCAAU